CCUACGGGAGGCAGCAGUGGGGAAUAUUGCACAGUGGGGGAAACCCUGAUGCAGCGACGCCGCGUGAAGGAAGAAGGUCUUCGGAUCGUAAACUUCUAUCAGCAGGGAAGAAGGAAGUGACAGUACUUGAAUAAGAAGCCCCGGCUAACUACGUGCCAGCAGCCGCGGUAAUACGUAGGGGGCUAGCGUUAUCCGGAAUUACUGGGCGUAAAGGGCGCGUAGGCGGUCCUGUAAGUCAGAUGUGAAAGCCCGGGGCUCAACCCCGGAAGUGCAUUUGAUACUAUAGGACUUGAGUAUGGGAGAGGGAAGUGGAAUUCCUGGUGUAGCGGUGAAAUGCGUAGAUAUCAGGAGGAACACCGGUGGCGAAGGCGACUUCCUGGACCAAUACUGACGCUGAUGCGCGAAGGCGUGGGGAGCAAACAGGAUUAGAUACCCGUGUAGUC
rnacentral:rRNA from 1 species